UCCUUUGUAGUACAGUGGUUAGUAUGUGCGCUUUUCACUUGUGAACGAUCACGCGCCAGACCCGAGUUCGAACCUCGGCAAGGGAA